rnacentral:lncRNA from 10 species
ACACAUGGCACUACCCUGAAUGCUGAGGGAAAUACAGGGUGACUUUUAUUUUCUUUCAGAAAACCUAAAGGCAAAGAAGGUUUCCUUCUGCUCUUGUGUACUGAGGUUUCUUCAGCCAUGUCUGAACUCAGAAAUUGCCACUUCAUAUUUUACGGUCAUAUUCAGGUUCCCAGAUUGUAAUGAUGAACAAGAUGUAAUGUAGAUGAAUCAUGUCUAGAACACAAGAAAUGUUCCCCCCAAACAAGAAGGCAACAUCAGACACCUAUAGUUUGUAGUGUGGAGCAUCUAUAAGGUAAACAAACCAACUAAAAACAGAACUUAUAGAUUUACUGUAAUUACAUAUGAAACAUAUGAAAUAGUGCCUGAUAUAUAGUAAGUAUUUGUUUAUUAUUGUUGUUCUUAUUGUUGGUUGUCUUUUAUAACAAUUCGAAGGCAUUUUAAAGUAUCUCUCCCCAGCUAGAUGGACAAUGAUGAGAUAAAGUGGUAAAGGGGAUAGAGAAUUUCACUCUGACAUGCCUUUAUAUUUUCACACAUUUAAGAUCAAUAUAGAAAUGUAUUUCUUGCAUUUCACUCAGAUUUUUUAAAGAGAAUUCUCUCAUGUCAUUAAAAAUUUCAGUGUGAAGUGACAAAAUCCAGUAAUAGUGAUAUUGUAGAUAUUAUUCUGAAGUUCUAUCCACUUGAGAGGCAGAGGUUGUUUACUUCCAGCAGUAUGAGCCUAUUCAUGAAUUACUACUGAUCUCAACCUUACUUAAAAACCCAAACAUUUGCCCAGCUAAUUUAUUUGUCCAUUUAUUCAUUUAACUAAUAUGUAUUGAGCCCUUAUUAUGUAUUGGGCACCAUGGUAGCUACUAAGGAUACCAAAGAGAAAACCAAAUAUGAGUUUUAUUGCCAUGAACUUGCAUUCUGGAGGAGAAUAAUUAAGCAAAUAAUUACUUUAGUAUACUGCUAUAGUUUGCAGUGAAGAAAAAGCAGAACAAUAAAAGAUAAUACUUUGGAGACCUUACCUAGCUGUGGAGCUGGCAAAGAAGGAAGCUUUAGGAAAGUGUCUUCAGGAAGAGAUAUUUGAACUGAGAGUGAAAUAGUAGAAAUUAACAAGCAAAGGAGCAGGAAGAAGGUUUCAAGUUGAGAGAAGAGCAUACGCAAGGGUCCUGAAGUAGUGAAGAGAAAACCCAUUUGAGGAACUUAAAGAAAGCCAGAUGAGUAGAAUUUAGAGAGCAAAGGCAGGGAUGAAAAUGGGGAGGAAGAUACAGGGGGAAACCCAGGCCUUCUUAGUCCUGUAAGGGAUUUUGUACUCUAUUUGCAAAGCAAUAGAAGUCUUUGUAUAGUUGGGCCCAGAUAGUAUAUUUGGUCAAGACACCAUCAUCAGAAUUAAAAGAAGAGAAAUACAUUUCUUUUGAGAUUUUGCAGGUCAUAUUGGGCAAGAAAGGAUUAUUUCCAAUAUUUAAAAAAUUCUGCAAGAAUCUAUAAAUAUAGUAUUGAAAUGGCUACCAAAACUUUAAUUAUAAAACAAAAUGCUGAAGGAGUAAUUGGUAACUUGUGUUAAUCGGAAGCUUUGAUUGACCCCUUAAUUAUGCCUUUAAUGGGUCUAAGAAAACAAAGUUAGUAUUGCUAAAUAUAUUUUCCUAGACAAAAUCUUGCAAUAUGUGAAAUCAUUUGUGGGAAUAUAGGGAAUAAUUAAAUUAGAUGCUCAAUGAAGAACAAAGUCUGGGAACCACCAACGUAUCGUGAGAAUCCACUUUGGGGAGGGGGCUGAGAAACACUAGAGAUUGAAAUUUUUUGCAUGAAUGUUGUAAGGGAGGUAACCUAGUGAAAAGCAAAAGGAUGAGAGCUCCCCAUAGCCUCUAGCAAUCCCCCACUGUCCAAGAAUUUUGAUCACACUUGUCUCAGAAAAGAAUGCCCUGAAGUCAAAUAAAUGCAGGGAAUACUCAUGGUGUUUACAUGGUUGUGAGUGUCAUAAUUAAUAAGCUAACGGAAAUUACUCCAUUUAUAUGAUUUCUGAUAGAUAGAUGAAAAAUCUAUAUGGUCAUCUAGAUAUAUGCACUAUCCAACAAAAAGCACCUGGAUAUUUGGAAACAUCCGGUGAAGAGUAGCAUGCUUUACUUUUCUUGAUAUGUGAUACAUAUACACAUAUUUACAUGUGUUUGUGUGUGUGUGUGUGUAUACCUGUAUUACCUUAGAUCUAUUUUCUGUGUAAUAGCAUAUUCUUAGAAGGCUUCAAUUUCCUAGUUCAUUUCUUAGAUCCCAUCAGACACCUAAAUACUAAGAGCAAUAGCAGUGAUUCAUGCCCUUUAUUGUGCAGCAGUCUCACCUGGAGGAUUUUUACACCACACAUUCCUGAACUCCAUUGCAGAAGUUUGGAUUCAGUUAAUCUGAGGUUAGGGUCAACUAUUUGUAUUUUAAACAAGUUCUCAUAUGAUGCUGUUGGUUUGAGGACCACACUUGGAAUGCCACUGCCCUGGAGUGCACUUUACAUUUAUAAUCAGCCAGGGGGAGAUUUGUGAUGCAGGCAGAAGACAAGUAAAUAAAAUCACAGGGUAUCCAUCAGCUGUUUUUGCUAGCCUUGCUUCUAAGACUAGGGGAGCUUGUUCUGUACAGAAGUGAUUCACAGUCUAUUUCAAAUUCUCCAUUCAAACAUAAUAGGAGUAUAUUUCACCAAUCACAUUUGCCCUAAAAUUGCUAUAUUUUAAAAAUGGAGAUGAAUUGAAG